GUUAAACUUACCACAGAUAAGUUUAUGGUGAAAAUCGGUGAAAUACGGUGGCUGCGGUGGAGAAAUUUGAACCAUUUUAGACAGUACACCUCGUGAAUUGCCUACACUACAGAUGGACUGUUCCCGCUGUUUCAUCUGUGACAAGUCUCUACCAAUCACUGCUCCCAUCUCUUGAAAAUACGAGAAAAGAGAAAUGAAUUAGAAAAAAAUUGAGUGUGAUUAAUCAAGAUGCCACUGUUUACCAACUUUCUGUCUUAACAAAUUGUAAAUUGGAUAU